rnacentral:tRNA from 1 species
GGAAAUAUGUCUGAUAAAAGAAUUACUUUGAUGGAGUAAAUAAUAGAGGUUAUAGUCCUCUUAUUUCUA